GGAAAGGUGGCUUUAAUGAUUGGGCUUCUGGGGGAAAUAUUAAGUAUAAAUUAGAAUCCUGUUUUUGGAGACAUUUUGGUUCAAAGAAGACAGUGCUGAGUUUGCAUUCUGCUCUAGAAUUGUGUGACAUACAUUCCAAAUUCAAACGGUAGUAGCCAGCCCUCCGCCAGAGAAAGGCAACGACAUUGCCAAUUCUUUGCGAGGAUUCUGGGAGCAGUAACCUUGGAGCUCUGUGAAGUUGAGUGAGGCCUGAGACAGCAAUGUUUCGUUUAGCCUGGCGGUGGCCCUCCUUGUCUUCAAGAAGAGCAUCCGUGGCUAGCAGUGGAAGAUGGGGUUGGGCCCCAGAUGGUCACAGGAAUGAGGAAAGAAUGACUCUGGCUCCUAGCAGCAGAAUCUUAACUGAGUAUGACUUAGCAUCCUUCUUCUUGCUGUGUCAUCUCUCUUCUCAGGGCAGAAGAUAUUUACUAAUUAGCACAUUCUGCUAGCACAUCUGUGGGAAAAGAGACGCGAUCUUACUGCAUUGACCAGGAUGGUCUCAAACUCCUGGCUACAGGCUAUCCUCCUGCCUCUGUCUCCCAAAGCGCUGGGAUUACAAGCGUGAGCCACCAGGCCUGGCCCAAUUGCUUCUUAACAACUUACUAUUCUUUGUUCACUACAGUGUAUACAUAACUGACUUUUUAUUUGGAUCUUCAUUUUGUAAUGAAGGCUCUGGUCACAUGUAAGACUUGUAUUAAAUAAAUUU
rnacentral:lncRNA from 10 species